GAUGAACGCUGGCGGCGUGCCUAAUACAUGCAAGUCGAGCGAAUGGAUUAAGAGCUUGCUCUUAUGAAGUUAGCGGCGGACGGGUGAGUAACACGUGGGUAACCUGCCCAUAAGACUGGGAUAACUCCGGGAAACCGGGGCUAAUACCGGAUAACAUUUUGAACCGCAUGGUUCGAAAUUGAAAGGCGGCUUCGGCUGUCACUUAUGGAUGGACCCGCGUCGCAUUAGCUAGUUGGUGAGGUAACGGCUCACCAAGGCAACGAUGCGUAGCCGAACUGGGAGGAUGAUAAGCCCCACUGGGACUGAGAUACGGCCCAGACUCCUACGGGAGGCAGCAGUGAGGAAUGUUGGACAAUGGGCGAAAGCCUGAUCCAGCCAUGCCGCGUGAGUGAUGAAGGCUUUCGGGUCGUAAAACUCUGUUGUUAGGGAAGAACAAGUGCUAGUUGAAUAAGCUGGCACCUUGACGGUACCUAACCAGAAAGCCACGGCUAACUACGUGCCAGCAGCCGCCGUAA
rnacentral:rRNA from 1 species